rnacentral:rRNA from 1 species
UUCGUCCUACGGGGGGCAGCAGUGGGGAAUAUUGCGCAAUGGGGGAAACCCUGACGCAGCAACGCCGCGUGAGUGAGGAAGUAUCUCGGUAUGUAAAGCUCUAUCAGCGGGGAAGAAAGAGGACGGUACCCGACUAAGAAGCCCCGGCUAACUACGUGCCAGCAGCCGCGGUAAUACGUAGGGGGCGAGCGUUAUCCGGAUUUACUGGGUGUAAAGGGAGCGUAGACGGCAGCGCAAGUCCGAAGUGAAAUCCCAUGGCUUAACCAUGGAACUGCUUUGGAAACUGUGCAGCUGGAGUGCAGGAG